UCGGAUAUGGUGUAAUGGUUAACAUUUGACGCUCUCAGUGCAGCACCGUCAGGCUCGGGGUUCGAUUCCCCGUAUCCGAA
rnacentral:tRNA from 1 species